UGGACCAGCCCGACGAGGCUCGCCUGAGAAGGUGACCGGAGAUUUGCUUCGGUGGUGAGUUGGCAUGGUCCAGAGCCACACGAUCUAUUCAAAUUAUUUUAAUCACGAGUGUUGGUUUUAAAUACCUUGUUUAUGGCGUGCUGACUCUAGACCAUGGUGGAACGCGCAUUUAUAUUCACUUGAUCUGCCAUCUCAAUUAAUGAGGGAGAUCAAGUGGUCCACGUUUUUUUUUAUUUUCUAAUUUUUAUUUUAUUUGUAUUAUUUUCAUUAAUUCAUA
rnacentral:lncRNA from 1 species